GUGAAUCUCUGACUUAGAUUUCAGAAUUUAGGAGAAGGAAUUUUCAAUCGCUGUCCCAUAGAAGAUCCUGAGGACCUGGGGGAGGAGUGGUCCAGCCUCAGGUCAGUCGUGGCCGCUCCUUCUGCCACCAUGGUCCUUGUAGAUGAGGUAACUGAUGAAAAUGAUACUUAUACAGAAAUUAUCACUCCAGUGACGAACAAUCAGGAUGAAGAAGAAGAUUGCAUAGGAUGCUGCUUCCGGAUCCAAAGGAACAAUCGACAGACGUCACAAAGAUCCACCUCUGGCUGCAUCAGAAAGUUAUGCUCCUGGCGCCACCAGCGAGUGCACCCCGCUAAUGGGUCGGGGACAGAAGAAACCCCGGGCUCCCAUGAAAGGCUGCCCAGCACCGCAGGAGGAAUAGAGGCUCCAAGUGGCUGCACAAUGCCGGCCGAUGACGCAACUAAUAAUAAUGGCAUGGCUUUGGAGCGCCCCACUCCAGUGACAAACAAUCGGGGUGAAGAAGAAGAAGAUUGCAUAGGAUGCUGCUUCCGGAUCCAAAGGAACAAUCGACAGAUGUCACAAAGAUCCACCUCUGGCUGCAUCAGAAAAUUAUGCUCCUGGCUCCACCAGCGAAUGCAACGGGCUAAUGGGUCGGGGACAGUUCACCCUCGGCAUAUUUUGGUGAAGGAGUACAGCAGCUCAGAAGAUAUUCCAUCUGACCCCUCACUCAUGUUGUACGAGUGGCCUUACAGAAGCGAAUUUAUUGCGGAGAGCGUUGGCAGCAUCACUAACGAAGAUGAAGAAUGUUACAUGGCAGAUAACGAGAAUUCUGACAAGGAAAGCAGAAUUAAGCGGAAGCGGAAACGCUCCCUGUUCCUGCGUUUAAGAAAAGCAUUUGGGGGGACAGCCUCCGAUGCCGAUGAUGAGCACACCUAGGAAGAGGCAGUGUCGAUGUGGCAGACCGGGGGUGCAAAGAUUGUCAGUUUGGCAUCAAUGACAACCUGGAUGUGAACACCCCCAGCCUACGCCUCAGCACAUCCAUACCAUCAGGACCUCCACCUAAAUAAGUCCAGAAGCAGCCUCACUCAAUGCUCACCUCCUAGGGCACCUCACUUAGUAUAAUCUCCGUUGUUUAACUGCAUAGAUUUAGUGUAUUAGUUAUAUCCCUAGUUUUAUCUUUUAGUUUUCUCUAUAUGUUCUAUAUGUUCAAUAUUUAUCUCUAUGUUCUGUCUUUAUGAAAUAAAAUGUUU
rnacentral:lncRNA from 9 species